rnacentral:rRNA from 1 species
AGAGUUUGAUCCUGGCUCAGAACGAACGCUGGCGGCGUGCCUAACACAUGCAAGUCGAACGGAAGUAAGAAGCUUGCUUUUUACUUUAGUGGCGCACGGGUGAGUAACGCGUGGAUAAUCUGCCUGAUGCUCUGGGAUAACAUCUCGAAAGGGGUGCUAAUACCGGAUAAGCCCACGGGAUCUUCGGAUCUUGCGGGAAAAGGAGGGGACCUUCGGGCCUUCCGACAUUAGAUGAGUCCGCGUCCCAUUAGCUAGUUGGUGAGGUAACGGCCCACCAAGGCGAUGAUGGGUAGCCGGCCUGAGAGGGUGUACGGCCACACUGGGACUGAGAUACGGCCCAGACUCCUACGGGAGGCAGCAGCUAAGAAUAUUCCGCAAUGGACGAAAGUCUGACGGAGCGACGCCGCGUGGAUGAAGAAGGCCGAAAGGUUGUAAAGUCCUUUUGCUGGGGAAGAAUAAUGUCAGGAGGGAAUGCCUGGCAGAUGACAUGAACCGGCGAAUAAGCCCCGGCUAACUACGUGCCAGCAGCCGCGGUAACACGUAGGGGGCGAGCGUUGUUCGGAAUUACUGGGCGUAAAGGGCAUGUAGGCGGCCUUGUAAGCCUGGCGUGAAAUUCCACGGCUUAACCGUGGGAAUGCGUUGGGAACUGCGAGGCUUGAGUGACGGAGAGGGAGCUAGAAUUCCUGGUGUAGGGGUGGAAUCUGUAGAGAUCAGGAAGAAUACCAAUGGCGAAGGCAAGCUCCUGGCCGAUGACUGACGCUGAGGUGCGAAAGUGUGGGGAUCAAACAGGAUUAGAUACCCUGGUAGUCC